rnacentral:tRNA from 1 species
CGCUUCGUAGCUCAGUGUGAAGAGCACUCGGCUGAUAACCGGGAGGUCAGUGGUUCGAAUCCACUCGAAGCGACCA